rnacentral:tRNA from 1 species
UGGGAUGUAGCUCAGUGGUAGAGCUUCUUUUCUGGCAUGGAGAAGGACCUGGGUUCAAUUCCCAGCACCAUAA